rnacentral:rRNA from 1 species
GAAUCUUCCGCAAUGGACGAAAGUCUGACGGAGCAAUGCCGCGUGAGUGAAGAAGGUUUUCGGAGCGUAAAACUCUGUUGUUAGAGAAGAACAAGGAUGAGAGUAACUGCUCAUCCCCUGACGGUAUCUAACCAGAAAGCCACGGCUAACUACGUCCCAGCAGCCGCGGUAAUACGUAGGUGGCAAGCGUUGUCCGGAUUUAUUGGGCGUAAAGCGAGCGCAGGCGGUUCUUUAAGUCUGAUGUGAAAGCCCCCGGCUCAACCGGGGAGGGUCAUUGGAAACUGGAGAAAUUGAGUGCAGAAGAGGAGAGUGGAAUUCCACGUGUAGCGGUGAAAUGCGUAGAUAUGUGGAGGAACACCAGUGGCGAAGGCGACUCUCUGGUCUGUAACUGACGCUGAGGCUCGAAAGCGUGGGGAGCAAACA